AAGGGCACCACAAGAACGCGUGGAGCAUGUGGCUUAAUCUGACUCAACGCGGAAAAUCUUACCGGGUCCGGACACACUGAGGAUUGACAGGUUCUCAUCAAUAUAAUACAUUAUUAAUGUAUUAUAUUACACACAAAUAUGCUAGUCCUUUCAUGAUUAUGUGAUAGGUGGUGCAUGGCCGUUCUUAGUUCGUGGAGUGAUCUGUCUGCUUAAUUGCGUAUCACUUAAACGUGUAUAAUAUUAUACUUAGUGUAUUAUAAAUGACCUUGUUCACGCAUGUGUCUCUUAUAUACAUUAUGUAUAUUACACGUUGAUAGCAACGAACGUGACCGUAAUCCCUUAUUGCGAUACAAUAUAUAUCUAUAUAUAAUAUUGCUAAUUAGGGAGACCGCUGUAUUCUUUUUUAAACCAGAGGAAGGUUACGGCAAUAACAGGUCUGUGAUGCCCUUAGAUGUUCCGGGCCGCACACGUGCUACAAUGAUUAUUGCAGUGAGUAUCUUUAAUGAAUCAAUGCUUUUGUAUAUUUUGUGUUAUAUAUAUUUAUUUAUAUAUAUCACUUAAUAUACAUGCUUAUAAGCCUGCUUCGAAAGUUAUCUCGCGGGUAAUCAAUUAGCAACAAUGAUUUUCCACACAAUCAUUAUGCACACUAUGUGCGUAUAUUAUACCCAGUAAUAUCCUUUUGUGAUAUUAUUUUGUGUGUAUAAUAUUUUUUACGCAUGUGCAAAAUUGUCAAUUCAUGGUGGGGACAGACUAUUGUUAAUUGUUAGUCUCGGUUUCAACUAGGAAUGCCUUGUACUGGUUAGUUCAACAAACUACCAGGAAUACGUCCCUGCCCUUUGUACACACCGCCCGUCGCUCUUACCGAUGAACUAUACUGUGAGUUUAUUGGACUUAAUAUAUAUUAGGAAAAAUAAACGAACAGUGUGGUUUAAAGGAAAGAGAAGUCGAACAAGGC
rnacentral:rRNA from 1 species